CCCGACUCCACGCCGCUCUCUGCCCUCCCUUCCUGGUCAAGUUCUCCAGCCAGUGGUCUCAACUCAAUCUUCUCUUCCUCCGCUCCUCUCAUGCCUAAGCCCACUGCCGCCUAAAUUCUUCCCCAACCCACUGGGCCUACCGGCACUAAAAAGGUCACUUUGUCCCUGGAUGACCAAACACAGGCCAAUGUAACUUACUGGGCUUGUUUUGCCCCAGCCACAGCUGACCACUUCCUCCUUCACUCUUGUUGUUGAUCACCUUUGGGCUUAGUCUUUCUCCAUCUCUGUUGAGUCCUUCUCCCCUGCCACCUACUCCUUCAUGCUGGGGUUCUCUGUAGCUCUGUACCUGACAGUCACGUUCCACCCUUUCCUCCCAGAAGCUCGCCAACCCCCGUGGACUGCUGGCUCUCAAGGCGGCCACUAGCCCAGCUCCGACAGCAGCUGACAAUGCACAGUAUGCGGCCCAGGGCAGGCCCUGUGCUGAGAGGCAUGGGUGAAUGGCUCAUUUCAUCGGCAAGCCCCCGCCACCAGCAGGCGCCGUUCUCCUCGCAUUUCUCAGGGGAGGAACCUGAGACAAUGAGGUUAAGGAAGUUGUUCAUUACAAGUGGAAGAACCCUGACUUACUUGAAUUCAACUUUGAAGCCCACAUUCUCUUUUUCUGUGUGUGUGACAGGGUCUCACUUUGUCACCCAGGCCGCAGUGCAGUGGUGUGAACACAGCUCAUUGCAGUCUCAACCUCCCUGACUCAAGCAAUCCUCCUGCCUUAGCCUCCUGAGUAGCUGGGACUACAAGCAUGUGCCACCACGCCCAUCCGAAGCCCAUAUGUGAAUGUUGAGGCACACAGCCUCCCCAGCCUCUGCCUUACCAAGCCCUCCACAGGGCCUAGGCACCCUCCCUGGCUGCCCCCUUCCCCCGUCACUCAGGCUCCCCAGCAGCCAAUGUAGUUAAUAUGGGGCUGCAAAGAGCUGGGCCUGGCCUCAGGCGGGACGGCCUCCCCGGCAUUGCCAUCCCUGCUGCAGAGCUCCCAUGCGAUCAGCCUCCUCUCCAGCUGAGACCACAUCCUCACUCAGCUUCUAGGCUGUUCCUGCUCCCCAUUCCCCUCAGCACAUGGCCCCUGAGAAACUGCUUGCACAAGAAUUUCCCUCUGGAGCCCCACCUCUGGGGAACCUGACCUCAGACAGAGGAGACCAAGCUCUAGGGCAGGAUCCUCCACCUCCCUUGCCCCACCCGUGUGGCCAGCCCAGAGCGCUGCAGACUCCCGCCCAGACCUGUACUCAUGCCUGCCUUCUGCCAGCCUGCUCCUCCUCCUCCCACUCUCACACCUGCAUUAACAGCACCAGGACACCAUCCUCCAAGGGCCCCAGCCUCAUCUCCCCUGUCACCAGGAUCCAGCCAGAUCUCAAUCCUUGCCCAUCCUAACUGAACCUCCCUCAGAUCCGUCCACUGCCCCCUUCCCCAGGACCACACUCCACCAUCUCUUGCCUGGACCCUGCGAGAACUUCCUGCCUCCCUGCCUCUAUCCUACCCCCUGCCCCCUGCUGAAGCUGAUGAUAGUUCCGGAAUGCAAAAUGCCUUAAUGAUUCCCCCAUUGAUCAAAGUCUUCCACAUGCUUUCAAGGCCCUUGGUGAUCCGGGACCUGCCGCCUUCUGCAGUCUCCCUACUGAUGCCAUAGUUUU
rnacentral:lncRNA from 10 species